CCCAGCACUUUGGAAGGCCGAGGCGGAUGGAUCACCUGAGGUCAGGAGUUCGAGACCAGCCUGCCCAACAUGGUGAAACCCCGUCACUACUAAAAAUACAAAAAAUUAGCUGGACGUGGUGUCGCGUGCCUGUAAUCCCAGGUACUAGGCAGGCCGAGGCAGGAGAAUUGCUUGAACCCAGCGAAGGAUGCAGUGAGCCGAGAUCGCGCCAUUGCACUCCAUACUGGGUGACAAGAGUGAAACACACAAACAAAUCAAGGAAGGAAUUAAGGGUUUUAUUGAAAAUGAAAGUACGGC
rnacentral:lncRNA from 1 species